GAAAGCGCCGGUGCGUUCGAGGGCCUUCCAACCACUUCACGCCAGUCAAAGAGACACAAAUUACAUUUUAUCUCUUACCCAAGCUUUCUGAGCGUACUCCGAAAGGCACUGAAGAAGUUUUUCAUCUGCAAGCUGGUUUGGGACGCAGGUCCACGCUGAUACCAGAAAACUACACCCAUGAUGAGGUAUGUUCAACCCUCAAAGAUCUAUAUCCAAAACUGGAAAGUGUGUCUGGGGGCUGGCUGAUUUACAAAGGAGCAGGAGGUUGGGGUGCUAGAAAACUAUACAUGGUGUCUCCUGAGGACAGUGGAUAUACUGGGCUAAUGCUGAAGACGGCAAGUGUAGGCGGAAAGGGUGUCCUAUAUAUUGCUCCAAUACAGGAGGAACUAAACUCUCAACCACUGCCUCCUGACUCCACGUCCUUUUCCAGUAUGCCAAAGGCAAUGUGCCACUCCUGUCACACCAGCUAUCCAUUACAGAUCCUACCGCUGCAUGUUGAAACAUGCAAGAUUUCAGAUACUUCUCCACAGGAGGUAUGUACAGACCCAUUGUAUGGAUAAUGUUGGGAGAUCACGUUAUAUUACAAAUAGCUUUACUCUGUAAAACACAGAAACGACUACCGCACACUUUUAAGCUUGCUACUAGAUAUCUCUAAUAGACAACGUUUUGCUCCAUCAGGAUCUCCCUCAGGUCCAACAUUGUGAAUGUUGCUUGCAUAAUACUCACUUCAUAGACCGUCUUCAUAUAAUAAAUGAGAACUUGCUACUCUCAGGAAGAAUUUCUUUUCAAACUCAACUGUGAAACCCUAACCAUAAACCAUAUAACUACU